CAAGGAGUCUAACAUGUGUGCGAGUCACUGGGUCUCGCCGAAGCCCACGGGCGCAAAAAAAUUGAUUCUUUAUUCGUAGUCGGGAUCCCCCGCCUCCGGGCGAGGGGCGCACCGACGGCCUGCCGCGCUCCCCGGAGCCGCGGCGGAGCCCGAGCACACACGUUGGGACCCGAAAGAUGGUGAACUAUGCCUGGACAGGACGAAGACAGGGGAAACCCUGUUGGAAGUCCGAAGCGGUUCUGACGUGCAAAUCGAUCGUCUGAUCCGCGUAUAGGGGCGAAAGACUAAUCGAACCAUCUAGUAGCUGGUUCCCUCCGAAGUUUCCCUCAGGAUAGCUGGCGCUCGAUCGAGAUUCAUUCACGAUCGGUAAAGCGAAUGAUUAGAGGCCUUGGGGCCGAAACGACCUCAACCUAUUCUCAUACUUUCAAUGGUCGUGGAGUCCUCCUUUCUCGAGCGAAGGUUGGACGGUGGAUG
rnacentral:rRNA from 1 species